GAUGAACGCUAGCGGCAGGCCUAAUACAUGCAAGUCGGACGGGAUUCAGGAGCUUGCUUCUGAUGAGAGUGGCGCACGGGUGCGUAACACGUAUGUAACCUACCUUUAUCAGGGGGAUAGCCUCACGAAAGAGAGAUUAAGCCCGCAUAAAAUCACAGCACAGCAUUGUGUAAUGAUCAAAUAUUUAUAGGAUAAAGAUGGGCAUGCGGAACAUUAGCUAGAUGGCGGGGUAACGGCCCACCAUGGCGACGAUGGUUAGGGGAUCUGAGAGGAGGGCCCCCCACACUGGUACGGGGGCACGGACCAGACUCCUACGGGAGGCAGCAGUAAGGAAUAGUAGGCAAUGGGCGGAAGCCUGAGCCAGCCAUGCCGCGUGCAGGAAGACGGCCCUACGUGUGGUAAGCUGCUUUUAUACGGGAAUAAACCCAUCUACGUGUAUCUGGCUGACGGUACUGUAAGAAGAAGGAUCGGCUAACUCCGUG
rnacentral:rRNA from 1 species